rnacentral:rRNA from 1 species
CAGUCUUAGUUCGGAUUGUAGGCUGCAACUCGCCUACAUGAAGUCGGAAUUGCUAGUAAUCGCGGAUCAGCAUGCCGCGGUGAAUACGUUCCCGGGCCUUGUACACACCGCCCGUCACACCAUGGGAGUCGGUAACACCCGAAGCCUGUAGUCUAACCGCAAGGGGGACGCAGUCGAAGGUGGGGAUUGAUGACUGGGGUGAAGUCGUAACAAGGUAUC